rnacentral:rRNA from 1 species
UACGUAGGGUGCAAGCGUUGUCCGGAAUUAUUGGGCGUAAAGAGCUCGUAGGCGGUCUGUCGCGUCUGGUGUGAAAAUCCAGGGCUUAACCCUGGACCUGCAUCGGGUACGGGCAGACUAGAGUGCGGUAGGGGAGAUCGGAAUUCCUGGUGUAGCGGUGAAAUGCGCAGAUAUCAGGAGGAACACCAGUGGCGAAGGCGGAUCUCUGGGCCGUAACUGACGCUGAGGAGCGAAAGCAUGGGGAGCGAACAGG